rnacentral:rRNA from 1 species
AGUGAACGCUGGCGGUAGGCCUAACACAUGCAAGUCGAACGGCAGCACAGUAAGAGCUUGCUCUUACGGGUGGCGAGUGGCGGACGGGUGAGGAAUACAUCGGAAUCUACUUUUUCGUGGGGGAUAACUUAGGGAAACUUACGCUAAUACCGCAUACGACCUACGGGUGAAAGCAGGGGAUCUUCGGACCUUGCGCGAUUGAAUGAGCCGAUGUCGGAUUAGCUAGUUGGCGGGGUAAAGGCCCACCAAGGCGACGAUCCGUAGCUGGUCUGAGAGGAUGAUCAGCCACACUGGAACUGAGACACGGUCCAGACUCCUACGGGAGGCAGCAGUGGGAAAUAUUGGACAAUGGGCGCAAGCCUGAUCCAGCCAUACCGCGUGGGUGAAGAAGGCCUUCGGGUUGUAAAGCCCUUUUGUUGGGAAAGAAAAGCAGCAGGUUAAUACCCCGCUGUUCUGACGGUACCCAAAGAAUAAGCACCGGCUAACUUCGUG